rnacentral:rRNA from 1 species
GACGAACGCUGGCGGCGUGCUUAACACAUGCAAGUCGAACGGAAAGGCCCUGCUUGCCGGGUACUCGAGUGGCGAACGGGUGAGUAACACGUGGGUGAUCUGCCCUGCACUUCGGGAUAAGCCUGGGAAACUGGGUCUAAUACCGGAUAGGAGCCAUUUUUAGUGUUAUGGUUGGAAAGUUUUUUCGGUGUGGGAUGAGCUCGCGGCCUAUCAGCUUGUUGGUGGGGUAAUGGCCUACCAAGGCGGCGACGGGUAGCCGGCCUGGGAGGGUGGACGGCCACAUUGGGACUGAGAUACGGCCCAGACUCCUACGGGGGGCAGCAGUGGGGAAUAUUGCACAAUGGGCGCAAGCCUGAUGCAGCGACGCCGCGUGGGGGAUGACGGCCCUCGGGUUGGAAACUCCUUUCGCUAGGGACGAAGCUUUUUGUGACGGUACCUAGAGAAGAAGCACCGGCUAACUACGUG